AAAGUCGAUAAACAACUGGUGUUUCUUAGAGUGCAUUAACACUGGCUGAAGAAGGGCACUUUCGCCAUCAACUGAACAAUGUUUUUUCAAUGUUGUCCUCUCGAUUAAUUUAGUGGCCAACGGCCAGAAACUUAUCUAACCCAAAUGCAUCGUUUCGUCACUUGCCAGAUAUAAACAUGUCCUAAGUUGCACUGAAACUGAAUUGAUUCAGUAGCUUUCCAACUUUCCCCCAAACCAUGCAAGAGGAUGUUUUACAAAAGCAUCUGCAUAGUAAAACCGCCCAUUAAAUGGCAAAUAAUGGACGAAAUCUUCGAGAUGAACAAAGUCCUGUGCCUGUUUGUUAUAGCCAAGUCUUUUCAUAAGUUUCUAAAAGACCUUUGAAACUCUUGAAACAGUAGUACUGCUGCAGCUGAAUGGGAAGAAUGAGACAAAAACGAAACAUCACAUAAUAGGCUGGAAUCCAAAGCCCAUUCAAUGUAUUUAAGUCUUGCAAUAAAUUUCCUUUAGCAAAA